AUGGAACUGGGCAGUGAGCAGAAGAGUAGGACUGUUAAUCACUGCCGAACAAAAAGUUAAGCUAUGUCAUGUUGCUUGCAAGCUGGUAUUUACGUUUGAUGGCGACUGUCCUGUUGAAGAAUCUAUUCGAAGACAGAUUUUGAUGACAAUGAAAACUGGGAAAGGGUGGGUUGAUGUCGGCAAUGCUGUACUGGCGGAUGGAUUUCUUGAGACUGCCCA